GAAAUGCGAUAAGUAAUGUGAAUUGCAGAAUUCAGUGAAUCAUCGAAUCUUUGAACGCACAUUGCGCCCGCCAGUAUUCUGGCGGGCAUGCCUGUUCGAGCGUCAUUUCAACCAUCAAGCCCCGGGCUUGAUGGUUGAAAUGAAGUGGCGGUCCCGCCGCGGCGCCCCCUGCGUAGUAGUAAAGCACCUCGCAUCGGGUCCCGGCGGAGGCCAGCCGUCGAACCUAUCUCUUGAUGGUUUGACCUCGGAUCAGGUAGGGUUACCCGCUGAACUUAA
rnacentral:misc_RNA from 1 species